rnacentral:lncRNA from 1 species
UUUCUCUCUUGUUUUUGUAAUCGUGAGGUAAGCUUUUGAUGUCAAGCGUCUGCUUUAGGGUCAAUCGAUGGCCAUUCGAUCUCAUCCUACUUCCUUUCCUGUUCUAACCCACCAACUGUUGACCUUAUGAUUGGCGCCAAUCACUCUUGUUUCCUUCUUCUAGUUUCGUUUCUACCUCACAUUUUCUCACCAAUCAGCUCUUUCUCUCCUCUUUCUCUACCUUUUCUCCUCCUUGCUACCUCUCAUGACUAUUUUUGGUGUGGUCCUUGAUAGGGUGACCAUUGUUGACCUUGCCGGAAACAACCACCCUUUCAAUUCACUUUCCGCCUCUCAUAUUUCCUUUUCCAUGCCCACCUUUUUUCUUGCAAAUUUCCUCCUAUCAUCCCAACAAGUUCUUGUGGAAUAAUAAAGUUGGACUUGGGCCUUUCUUGUGUCUCUUUCCGUGUGGGAGGUCUCUCGAGUCUUUGUACUUGUGUUUGGCUCUACCCUUCGAUGGUAGUUUUCUCGAGCUGCCCGCGUUUAAUGGAACAAGCUAGCUAGAAGCGGGUCCAUUGCAAUGGGGGCAAGUCAAUAAAAAACAAACAAACAAUUCAAUAAUCCCCAUGUUUGUAUUUUGAAAGUAAAAUGGAUCUGUCUGAUAGGUAAUUUAUUAAAAAAAGAAUUCAUCUUAAAUUUUCUGUUUUGAUGAAUCAACUAUUACCAGAGUUAUAAAUGGACAAUGAGAGAUAAAGAACCCAAAUUUUUUUUUUGGCAUGACAGGGCUCUAUGCAUCAUUGCGGCUUCACCACCUUGAUGGCCAAACAUCAAAGUAUACCAAAAAGGGUUUUCACCUUUCUUCCUUUGAAUAGACAAUGACGGCGGGGUUCAUGUGAAAAUGCUCUCCUCAAAUUUUGGUUUGUUGACAUCUGAGUCUUAGCUUGUUUUGUUUGUAAGGUCUGUAUUAAACUUUAUAUGUAUGUAUUUUGCAUAUGGUGUCUUGCACUAGUUGUACAUUUGCUCAAAGCCUGGUCCUCGUUUACUUUCCUUUCUUAUGUAUGGUUUUACCACAUCUAAAAAUUUAUAUAUUUUAUUUUAUUUAUUAAAA